UCUAGGAGUUAGGGUUUUGGGAAGUGUUGAUUCAAGGAGCCCGUUAGGGGAAUCGAAUCUGCAUUCUUCCCCUAAAAUUUUGUUUUGGAUGAUAUUUGUGUUUCAAUUGAUCAGCCUUGGCUCACGACACGAUGACGCAGAUCUAGAGUUUUUUAUUGGAUCAUUUCAGCAAGGCACUUUUGAACUCCAUUUGGAAAAGAAGAAGUCAAUUGUUGAACUAUGAUGCAAAAUCAGUACAAGGAUCAAAAUUUUCUCAUUGGUGUAAUGCCUUAUAAAAUAAGCUUUAUUCUAUUUCAAGUUGAU